GGGGCAUUAGCUCAGCUGGAUAGAGUAGUAGACUUCGAAUCUAUUGGUCGGGGGUUCGAAUCCCUCAUGCCUCG
rnacentral:tRNA from 1 species